rnacentral:misc_RNA from 1 species
GAUGAAGAACGCAGCGAAAUGCGAUAAGUAAUGUGAAUUGCAGAAUUCAGUGAAUCAUCGAAUCUUUGAACGCACCUUGCGCCCUUUGGCUAUUCCGAAGGGCAUGCCUGUUUGAGUAUCAUGAACACCUCAACUCCCAUGGUUUGCCAUGAUGAGCUUGGACUUUGGGGGUCUUGCCGGCCUAUGGGUCGGCUCCUCUCAAAUUAAUCAGCUUGCCAGUGUUUGGUGGCAUCACAGGUGUGAUAACUAUCUACGCUUGUGGUUUUCCAUCAGGUAACCUUCAGUGAUGGAGGUUCGCUGGGGCUCAUAAAUGUCUCUCCUCAGUGAGGACAGCUUUUUUGAACGUUUGAUCUCAAAUCAGGUAGGACUACCCGCUGAACUUAAGCAUAUCAAUAAGCGGAGGA